CUGUUUCUACUUGCGCCGGAUUGAUGAAGUGCACGUGGGUAUCGACGCCUCCUGCUGUAACUAUCAUUCCUUCUGCAGAAAUGAUUUCGGUUCCAGCACCUAGAAUCAAGUCCACCCCAUCCAUCAGUAAUGGAUUUCCACUCUUGCCGAUCCCUAUGAUUCUUCCAUCAAGAAUACCUAUAUCCGCUUUGUAAAUACCGGUAUAAUCGACGAUGACUGCAUUCGUAAUCACAAGAUCCAACGCGCCGUCUGCACGUGUCGCUAGUGGAUGUUGCCCCAUCCCAUCUCGAAUCG
rnacentral:sRNA from 1 species